AUGAGCACAGCUCUCGCGAAACCACGCCUCUCGCUCGCCAUUGCCAACACCACAGAUCUCGCCGCCCCAACCUCGCGGCAUGCCUCCUCGCCGGCGAGGUCCGCGGGCAUCGACCGCGGCCGCACCUCCUACCCCCCCUCGGUUGCCCCUCCACGUCUACGAAACCUUCCCGGAGAUGGUGAGACUGAUCUCACAAGUUCCACAAGGGGUGCUCAUGGCGACCGGGGCUCGGAGUUGGGUGGAGCGGGCGACCAGGAUCCGCGACGCCACAGCAGCGUGGAUCCGACGCGUGCGGGAGUGGAAGGCGGCGGAUCAGGUGGUGGCGGCGGCGACAGACCAGAUCACGAGAUCCGCGGCGGUGAAAUAUGCAGAGACCUAUCAGAGGAGGGCGGAUUUGGAGCAGAGGAUUCUGGCAAGGAAGAUCUACGACGAGGCCACGGAGGAGGAAAGGGCAAGGAUGCCCGCCUUCCCCCACUCCCCGCCGGCCGCGUUCGUGCUGUGGGCGAGGGCGGAGGCGAAAUCAAAGGAUCCCCGGAGGGCGCUGCGGUGGGAGUGCAUACUGGGGGUGAUGCCGUCGGGUGCACCACUGCAGCUCUCGUCCUCGCCGCCGGCGACCAACUCCAGUCGAGAUUGAGCACGUCUCCCGAAGUGGAGACGAGGACUCGGGAGGAGGAGGUGCGGAUUCCUGCUGCUGAUGCUAUCCACAGUCCCAUUUCCGUUCUAAGAGGUGGCGGAGAUCAGAGAUGGAGGAGAUCGGCCUCGCCGCCACCGAUGCCUUCCGGUUCUCCGGCGAGAAUAGUUGUGGGUUGCAGAAGUGGGACUGCCAGGAGGGCCCUACUGGUCAGCGACUCCCCUAUGCGUGCGAGGCUGACAGCAGGUCCCGCUUGCCCCGCCAUCGGGCCACCCAUGGGGAAAGUGGUUGCGCCUCUACAAAAGGCGCCUCCUGUUCGCGAUCUGGAUCCACAGCUUGGGGGGACUGACCGUGGCGAACCUAGGGUUCGUCCCAACCCUAUCAAUUUCAAUAGAUCCAAUUUGGUGUGGAUAAGGAAAGACAGAUUUGCCUCCAGAGACUUCGCUGAAGCUGAUUGCUACCCAGUUGGAAAAUCUGAUCGUCUGACUACCCCAAAAUUAUUCAGCUUCUCCCGCGACUGCUGUGCAAGGAAAUCGGGUAAGAUCCCCUUUGUUUCCAUCGUCAAAAUGGCUGGUGGAGGGAGAGAUGCUAGCAGCCAUGGGGGAGGUAUGGCUCUGGAAGGGGACGCAAUGGCCGUCCUCCUGCUCCCACUCCGACGUGGCAGGAGGCACCUGUGCCACCGCCACUGGUUCCACAGCCUGCUCAAGCCCCUCACCCACACAUGUCGAUUUUUGACAAGACGCCGUUGUUCCCUCUUGGUGCUGCCCCAGCUAUGUUGCAGACUGGUGGACAGAUGUAUGCUGGCUGUCCAGGGGGGUUGA
rnacentral:rRNA from 1 species